rnacentral:misc_RNA from 1 species
UCAAACUUGGUCAUUUAGAGGAAGUAAAAGUCGUAACAAGGUCUCCGUUGGUGAACCAGCGGAGGGAUCAUUACUGAGUUACCGCUCAUCAACCCUUUGUGAACAUACCUUAACUGUUGCUUCGGCGGGUAGGCGUCCCCUAAAAAGGACGUCUCCCGGCCCUCUCCCGUCCGCGGGUGGGGCGCCCGCCGGAGGAUAACCAAACUCUGAUUUAACGACGUUUCUUCUGAGUGACACAAGCAAAUAAUCAAAACUUUUAACAACGGAUCUCUUGGUUCUGGCAUCGAUGAAGAACGCAGC